rnacentral:rRNA from 1 species
GACGAACGCUGGCGGCGUGCUUAACACAUGCAAGUCGAACGGUAAGGCCCUUCGGGGUACACGAGUGGCGAACGGGUGAGUAACACGUGGGUGAUCUGCCCUGCACUUCGGGAUAAGCCUGGGAAACUGGGUCUAAUACCGGAUAGGACCACUGCCUGCAUGGGUGGUGGUGGAAAGCUUUUGCGGUGUGGGAUGGGCCCGCGGCCUAUCAGCUUGUUGGUGGGGUGAUGGCCUACCAAGGCGACGACGGGUAGCCGGCCCGAGAGGGUGACCGGCCACACUGGGACUGGGAUACGGCCCAGACUCCUACGGGAGGCAGAAGUGGGGAAUAUUGCACAAUGGGCGCAAGCCUGAUGCAGCGACGCCGCGUGAGGGAUGACGGCCUUCGGGUUGUAAACCUCUUUCAGCACCGACGAAGCGCAAGUGACGGUAGGUGCAGAAGAAGGACCGGCCAACUACGUGCCAGCAGCCGCCGUAA